GCCUGGCUGUGGAGGUGGGCGUCCCUGCUGAUGGCGCUGCUGGCCUCCAGAGGGCGGGCGUUCUUGGGCAGCUGGUGCGGGGCGUGCGGCUGCACGUGAGGGCUGGCGCGGAUCUGGGCAUGGCAGCGCGAAGUGGCCGUUUCUCCGCCACUGGUCGGUGGUUGGAGGGGCUGUAGGUGCGCUGGUCUUACACGGUGAUGCUUGGCGAGGUGGGCUACUCGGGUCCACUGGUUGGAUGGUUGAGGUUGCCGGCGAAAGCUGAACUCCGGCAGUGGCCGGAGUUGUCGAUGGCCGCGCCGGCAGGCCGUUUCCUUGCUGAAGGUAUCAAUGUUGCAGUCCUCACCUUCCACUGCCCCAUGCCUCCCCCUGUGAUUCACUGAAAACCUGAUUCGAUCCAGCUUGCUUGCUUUGUAUUGCGCAGCAGCCAGACAUGCCCAUCCGGCUGGAAAGGAAUCGGCAAGCUGCAGACCGAUGAAGCUAAGUAGUUUUGUUAUCUUUGUUUGCACAGCCAGAUAGCACGCCUUCUUGCUGAUUACUUCUUCCCGUACACUCACGUGAAACAACAUAGAUUCACUAAUUGAUUUUGGCCAGAUGCGCUAAUACAGAAAGUUAGCUUGAUUAGUUAAUCUUCAGCUAGAUGAGCGCACACAUGUAACGCACAGAACGCGCAAACACGGGAAAAUCUAUUGGAUGGCAAUAGGUGUGUGACGCACCUAUGUUUUUAUUGUUUUGAUCUGGUGAAGUUCAAAGGGGUUCUUAUUUUCAUAAGGCCAAAUGAUGUUCAUCAGUGCGUUGGAUACCUUUCCUCUUUUUUGCUAUGUAUGUUUUCAUGAUAUUUCUCUUGUCCUUUACAUAAAAUAUCUUUC
rnacentral:lncRNA from 1 species